CGAAGUGCUGGCCGGGCGGGUGCCGAUGUCCCGGAUCGACGACGCCGUCACGCGGAUCCUGCGGGUCAAGUUCGAGCUCGGGCUCUUCGA
rnacentral:tRNA from 1 species